rnacentral:ncRNA from 1 species
GAAGACCAUCGGCGAAGGCGUCCGGCAAGUCAUAACUGACACUGAAGCACGAAAGUGUGGGUAUUAAAUAGCAACCCUAGUAAUCUGUACCGUAAACGUUGAACGCUUGUAAUUAAAUAGUAAAUAGUUUUAGUUGCGUAGUUAACACGUUAAGUGUUCCGCCUGGGGAAUAAUGCCGUCAUGGUUAAACUUAAGAGAAGUGUUAAUGGCCUAUUACUAGCAGUGGAGCAUGGGGCGUAAAACGACGGUACGCGCAAACCUUACCAGAAGCCUCUGUAUAACACACUUUAUACUCGAUUAGGUGCGACUAUAACCGUCUGUGUUACGAGUGCUGCAUGGUUGUUUUAAACCUGUGUAGUGAUCCCAUUAAGUUGGUUAACAGGUGCAACCCCUUCCUUUUUCUAAUAAGUUGAGUACUUUUUUAGUUGUGCGCUAGGGAUUAAGACAAAUCAAUAUGGCCUCUUUGUUGCUGGGCAGACCCUGUGCUACAUAAGUGCGGACAGAGUUAUGGUGUUAAAUAAAAUUAAUAAAA